rnacentral:lncRNA from 1 species
ACCACGUGAGCUUCCCUCCCGGUCUAGCCUGGCCCCUCGCUGACGACCGGGGCCUCUCGGUUUCCCUCCGGCCUGGCCUUUCGCGUCCGCAGAUCUCGGUUUCCUCCAGAGUCCUGCCUUCUGACAAGGUGGCUCGAAGGCGCCCGGCGAGAAGAGCUCAGCUCGGCCUCUACUUGGUGAACCACUUCCCUGAUAAAAGUGUCACCUACCCCACCCCCGGAAGCUUGGGAUGAAGCGGUUUUUUUUUUAUAAUGAAGUCACCGGCCAUAUUUUUGCGGCAACUCCGCAUCAAUGGGAUGCACCUAUAGCCUAGUGUCUAAAGUUGAUUUAUUGAAACAUUAAAGCUAUUAUGUGUCAGCUUUCCUACACUAAAA